rnacentral:rRNA from 1 species
GACGAACGCUGGCGGCGUGCCUAAUACAUGCAAGUAGAACGCACAGUUUAUACCGUAGCUUGCUACACCAUAGACUGUGAGUUGCGAACGGGUGAGUAACGCGUAGGUAACCUGCCUGGUAGCGGGGGAUAACUAUUGGAAACGAUAGCUAAUACCGCAUAAUAUUGAUUAUUGCAUGAUAAUUGAUUGAAAGAUGCUAUUGCAUCACUACCAGAUGGACCUGCGUUGUAUUAGCUAGUAGGUGAGGUAACGGCUCACGUAGGCGACGAUACAUAGCCGACCUGAGAGGGUGAUCGGCCACACUGGGACUGAGACACGGCCCAGACUCCUACGGGAGGCAGCAGUAGGGAAUCUUCGGCAAUGGACGAAAGUCUGACCGAGCAACGCCGCGUGAGUGAAGAAGGUUUUCGGAUCGUAAAGCUCUGUUGUAAGAGAAGAACGGGUGUGAGAGUGGAAAGUUCACACUGUGACGGUAUCUUACCAGAAAGGGACGGCUAACUACGU